CCCCGAGCUCGGCGGCCCAGCUGGAAAGAAAUGUUCGGGGCGGGGCUGCGGAGCACCCGGCGACUGCCGCACUCCCUAAACUGGCAAGGGGCGGAGACCGAGAGAGCAGCUUUGUCGCCGAGUCAAAAUCCUACCUGAGAAAGACACUGCGCCUCUGGCAAGAGGGGUUAAAGGGAUGCUGGAAGGGCACAAAGACUAUGGCUUUUCAGGCAGGACCUUGUGUGACUCAGCAGAGUUCAUACCGGCGAUGCACAGGGAUUACUCCUGCCUCUGCACUCAGGAAUUACCCGUGGUGAUGCUCAGGGGACCAUAUGGGAUGUUGGGAAUCAAACCCGGGUCAGCUGUAUGCAAGGCAAAUGCUCUACCCACUGUACUAUCGCUCCAGUCCCAUGAUUCAUUGACCUGUGUCAGUUUUCAGAUAUAAAAGGAAAUGUAAGAAGGAUUUUUUAGAAGUCUCCAUAUAGGAAAACCUUCAAAUAACCAUAGUCUUGGGCAAGAAUUUUAACCUUUAGCAUGAAAUUUUAAAAACUUACAUAGUACUUAAAACAAGGUUCAUGCAUAUCUUACUAUACAGUCCAUCAGCCCAAUGGUUUAUUAAAUUACAUUCAAUACUCAUCAUCAUUUUGACUCUAUCUUCAGUAUUGUCUAGGAGCUCAUCAUGCAAAUGAUCAGGCUACCAAUAAUAGAAUAUAAUACCCCACAAACAAACAAAAUAAUGGUAUAUGAUGUUUGUUGUCAUUCAGUGGGAAAGAGACAAUGUCAUCACCAUUAUAAAUAAUUAUUAAUAAUUAAAAUUAAAAACAAAUAUGAGUUAAUGUGUUAAUAUUAAAUAACUCCAAGAACUGAUAAAAUAUUAUUAAACAUUUAUUAUUACUCAUAAUAAGAAAUUUAGUAGGAAAUUGGUAAGAAAUAUAACAAGCUUCUAGUUAGAAAGUUUUAGCUUAAGGUCUCUGAUAGAUUGCAAUAUCAUGUCAGUUGUGACUCUUGUCAUCUGAAGGUUUUAGUGGGAAAGGAUUAUACAUUUCAAAAUUUUCACGGGCUGUCAAUUAAUGUUGGAAAUUUGGUUCUUCUGCAGUUAAGAAAGAAUAAAUGUGUUCAGAAUGAAUAAUAUGCUAUGAGACAAUUAUAUAAAACUUUUUCAAAAAUAUUUUUAAAGACCCCAUCAAAAAAUGGGGCGAAGAAAUGAACAGAAACUUUACCAAGGAAGAAAUACGAAUGGCCAAAAGGCACAUGAAAAAGUGCUCUACAUCACUAAUCAUCAGAGAGAUGCAGAUCAAAACAACCAUGAGAUACCACCUCACACCACAGAGACUAGCACACAUCCAAAAGAACAAAAGCAACCGCUGUUGGAGAGGAUGUGGGGAGAAAGGGACCCUUCUUCACUGCUGGUGGGAAUGCCGACUGGUUCAGCCCUUCUGGAAAACAAUUUGGACGAUUCUCAAAAAAUUAGAUAUUGAAUUCCCAUUUGACCCAGCAAUACCACUGCUGGGAAUAUAUCCCAGAGAGGCAAAAAAGUAUAAUCGAAACGACAUCUGCACAUGUAUGUUCAUCGGGCACUGUUUACAAUAGCCAGAAUCUGGAAAAAACCCGAAUGCCCCAGAACGGAUGACUGGUUGAGGAAACUUUGGUACAUCUAUACAAUGGAAUACUAUGCAGCUGUUAGAAAAAAGGAGGUCAAGAAUUUUGUAGUUAAGUGGAUGGGCAUGAAAAGUUUCAUGCUGAGUGAAAUGAGUCAGAAAGAGAGAGACAGACAUAGAAAGAUUGCACUCAUCUAUGGUAUAUAGAAUAACAGAGUGGGAGACUAACACCCAAGAACUGUAGAAAUAAGUACCAGGAGGUUGACUCCAUGGCUUCGAGGCUGGCCUCACGUUCUGGGGAAAGGGCAACUCAGAGAAGCGAUCACCAACUAUAUUGUAGUCGAAGGCCAUGUGGGGGAAGGGAGUUGCGGGCUGAAUGAGGGCUAGAGACUGAGCACAGGGGCCACUCAACACCUCUAUUGCGGGCCAUAGAAGCUAAAUAGAGAGAGAGA